AGCGAACGCUGGCGGCAGGCUUAACACAUGCAAGUCGAGCGGGCCUUUCGGGGUCAGCGGCGGACGGGUGAGUAACGCGUGGGAACGUGCCCUCUGGUUCGGAAUAACUCAGGGAAACUUGAGCUAAUACCGGAUACGCCCUUUUGGGGAAAGGCUUGCUGCCGGAGGAUCGGCCCGCGUCUGAUUAGCUGGUUGGUGAGGUAACGGCUCACCAAGGGGACGAUCAGUAGCUGGUCAGAGAGGCAGGUCAGCGACACUGGGGCGAAGACGCGGCCCGGACUCCUACGGGAGGGAGCAGUGGGGGAUAUUGGAAAGUGGGGGCAGGCAUGAUCCAGCCAUGCCGCGUGAGUGAUGAAGGCCGUAGGGUUGUAAAGCUCUUUUAUCCGGGACGAUAAUGACGGUACCGGAGGAAUAAGCCCCGGCUAACUUCGUG
rnacentral:rRNA from 1 species